rnacentral:tRNA from 8 species
GGCUCAGUAGCUCAGUGGUUAGAGCAGGGGAUUCAUAAGCCCAAGGUCGCAGGUUCAAAUCCCGCUUGAGCCA